UUAUCUAUUUAUUUAUUUAUGCUCCAGUUUAAGGUCGAGUGUUGAACCUCUGGCUGUACUAGCCCUUAUACGGUGCUGAAAGGCAGUGCUCCUGUCCAUCGUAGGAAAGAAGAGCAGAAGUGCCAAGUGGAACCCAAGUGUUUAGCAGCUGUGCUUUGGGAAAAGCUGCUUUGUACAGGAUCUCUAAGAGCCACACAAAUACUACAGAAAUAUCUGCGCUGCCCUACAGAAGAGGAGAUGAAGGAAACCAGGUGCUCAGUAAAGCGGCAGCACGAGGCAGGGGAUGCUCCUUUUGCAGUAUCUCUGUCAGGGAGCCACACAGCAGCGCGGCUGCAGAGGGCAGCCCCACACCCACGACCUCACCGUGGCCGCCUGUACCCGAGCCCUCGGCAGCUGGAGCUGUUUCAGCGAACGGGCACGUUUUGGAAGUGCUGCAGGAGCAGCUCCUGCUCUGGGGGACCCCCAGGCCCACCCGACCCUGCAGAUUUGGAUCCGGGGCAUCUUGCUCCGGGAUCGCAGGGCUUGGUAUGAGCGGAAGGAAGCGAUUCCUCAGCGCCCUGAGCCGAUGCCCCACGGCCCGCAGAGCCCAGCUGAGCCCCCGCACCCAAACCCCUGGGAGGAUGCUCCAAGGGCAGCUCCCGGAGCAGAACCCCGGGCACGCCGAAACGAUGACCUAAGGAUGUCUUGGAGGUGCUGGGGGAUGCCCUCGCCGAAGCCCCACCACCCCUCUGUGGGAGGAAUACCCCAAGAGCAGCCCCCUGCACUCCGGCAUAGGGGCUGCCCCAAGCAGGACGUUGGUCACGUAGA